CAGAUAAAAUAUUGUGUAACUCCUGUUCUUGAAGAAAUUGACUCAGCUCCUCACCAUGCAUCACUGACAAAUUCUGCAUUUCUUGGGCUUGAGAAGGAUAUUUGUCCCCACCUACUCACUAAGACAGAGGACCUCAAUCGUCCUUCAACAACAUCUGGAGCUGGGGCUGGAAGAAAUCCCUUGGGGCCUCCAAGCUUGCUGCCCAGGAAAGAAGAACCACAGUUUCCUCUGUGGCUGGCUGGAUCAGCCAACGCUGUCCCUCACUCUGUCCGUAAUGGUCAGUCAGCCAAGGAAAGAGUCUCUAGUUUGGCCUACUCAUCUGCACCAAAAAAUAUCAAGAAGUUUUAUUCAAGCAGAGCUAACACUAUCAGCAAGUAUCAUUCUAAAGCCAAUAUGGUGCAUGACAAUAGGAAUCACAACAAGCAAUGUCAAAGCAAAGUGAGACACAAGGGGAGAGAGUUGCUUUCAGUAAGUCCUUUAUCCUCCUCACCUGAAAAUACCCAUUUCAGUGUGAAUUUUGGAGUUUCAGAGUUUUAUUUUACUGACAAAUGUGGCUUUUAUGUACUGUAUUCCCUUGUAAAUUCUGCACACUGUUGCAUUUUUCCACAAGUGGGAAAGUCCACUUUGUCACUGGAUAAAGAUAGAUUCACUACUUUAAUAAUCUGCAAAGAGCACAAAAGUAUCAAGAGCAUCUUGUAGUCAUAAGAGGAAGUAGAGAAUAUGAUCCGUUAGUAUGCAUUUUGGGUAAUGACUUGAGAGUAUAUUCUACAUUAAAAUGCACUGUGUUUAAAUUUCAUUUUAUCUACAUUCCACUCUCAAACUUCCACACCAUGUUCUUUGGAAUAUAUUUAAUGUCUAAGAUCUGCAAGUUCUCACCUACACAAACUCUGCAGCCAGCAAGUGGUUUAUUAAACUACAGCUUUAAGGUACCACUCACAAAACAGAAAGGGAAACUGUUUUCUUUAUGUUCUGCAGGGAGCUAAAGACAGAUGGAAGUAGAUAAUUUCCAUGGACACCCUUGCAGUCACCAUGAUUAAUUUUAUUGGCCAGAUUCCUCAGAUUUGAAAGCCUUGAAAGAGGGGUGUUGAAACUGUCACGGUAACAUCUAAUUAAGAAGGAAAUAGAGCCUUAAGAGAAGUACUGACUCUCCUUUUCAUCAAAGGAUAGUAAGUUACAGAAAGAAGGCACCAAAUCCUCAGUAGGUAACCCAGCCUUUCUGAUACCUUUGUAACCUCUUCCCAGUGGUCAGCAGUGCACACAGCUACACGUGUACACCCACAUGCACAAACGCAUGCCCCGAGUUAAUUAUUUAAGCCAAUCCUUUUCAACUAGAAUGUUUCAUCUAGCCUUCCUGGUAAUCACUGAUAGAUACCUAGAUAGAUACUUGCAACCUCAGGUAGGUGAAGCUAAAAGAUUGACUUGAUUUUAUCAUUUUAUCCAAGUCCAUAUUUUAAAGUUCACAUUUAAACAAAUACACACGUACAUAUUACACACAUGUAUACAGAGAGGAAAUUCUAACACACAUGUCCCUAGAUAAUAGUCAGAAUAUCUGAACUAUGGCCAGGAGAUUAAGCAUAAAGAUCAGGAUGUUUCAACACUAUUAUAUCUGUUACCACAAAAGUCAGACACAAAUAAUUACAUUUUCUAGAGAGUGAAAAUACAAUGAAUACUUAUGAUUUUUGCUCUUUUUAUUACCCUCAUAAGCACCUAAUAUGAUUUACAAAUAGUCUAUUUAUUAAAACUAUAAAUAUAUCUGUAUUUAUAUAUUACAGAUGAGAAAAAAGUUGUCUCUGUACUGAAGGAGUUGAGUAAACGCUGAUUCUUCAUGGAAACUGGUAGUUUAUGUAUUCUUUGAGAAAUUUUGAAUUAAUAAAAAUUCAAAUAGUAAGAGAAUUGAAACA
ensembl:lncRNA